UAGAGAGCUGUGGAUGAAGUGAGAAGCUCAGAAUCAGGACACAGUGGUCUUGGCAAUAUUCUCUGAAAAGGGAACAAGCUCGAGCAUUUCCAAGGAGUAUGCGUAGGAGCUAUAGGUUUCUGUGCACAUGACUGAUCCUCAAGCCUACGGGACGUUAGAAAUGGUUUCUGUUAUCUGUGGGCCAUACACUUGAAUUACUGCAGGCCACACAGCAUAGAGACAUGGACUGGGAGAAGAUAAGGAUCCCUUCACCCCGUGGGGGAAAACUCCUCCACUUCCACACAGAUCUGCAGGAGAACAUCUACGUCACCUUGAGCCAGCUCCAAAUGUAAUGGAUAUGGAAGGAGCAUACAGGAGUCUGGAUGUGACAUCACCAGUGCCCAGCAUAUCAAAUGCCCACCCAGCUUUCUGCUGACAGUGGAUGAGAGCUGCAGGAUAGCAAGAAACCAGGUGACAUGCAAGAAAGAAGAAAAAGAAGGAGCCAAGAUGGUGGAAUUAGGGAUUCACACCCAGUCUGAGUCUGAAGCUGAUAAAGACAUAAUGAGAUAAAUGGGACAAAAGAACAGAAGCUACCUGUGGUUGGAUUUGGGGAAGGUCAUAAUAUCCCAGGACUUCGAGAACACCAGAGUGCAUUGGUACAAGUGCAGUCGCUAAGUAAGAAUUGUUCUUCCCUUCAAGUGGUUUUAGAGAGACUGAACUCCUGGUGCCAAAGUAAUAAUAAAAACAACAACGAUGAACGACCUACUAAACAUCCUGCAGUGAAAACGUCAACUCUCCCUGUGUCUUCUAGUCUUAGAGGAGGGAAAAAUGCACUAUCACUAAGAAGUCCAAUUUUUCUUCAAAUGUACUAAAUUCCAGAACGUUAUCUACAAAGGUUGGGGGAAGUUGUGUCCCACUUUCCUUUCUUGCUGCUGUGAUAAACCCCCCGGGGGAAGCAGCUCAGUGGAGAAGGCUCGCUCUGGCUCGCUCUGGCUCGCUCUGGCUCGCUCUGGCUCGCUCUGGCUCGCUCUGGCUCGCUCUGGCUCGCAGUUGAAGAGUACAGCCUGUCGUCAUCAUCGUCAUCACAGUGAGGAAGUCAAUGCAGCAGGAACUCGAAGGUUCAGCUGGCACUGAACCCCCAGUCAAGAAGCAGAGAGGGGCGAGGGUUGCCCUUGCUCAGCUCCCUCCCUCGCAGGCAUGCUGAGAGAUUCAGCUCCCAGGGAGUUCGGAAUUCUGUCAAGUUGACAAUUAACAAUAACCUUUAUGGGACCCAUGCCAUCUCCCACCCUCCUUCCUUCUCUCCCUUCCUUCCUUCCUUCCUUCCUCCUUUCCUUUCUUCCAUUCUUUUUUUUCUUCAGUACAUUUUAGGUUUUUGAGGUGGAAUCUCACACUGUGAAUUAGAUUGGCCCAAGCCCCACAGUUUAGCCCAGACUCGUAAUCCUCCUGCCUCAGUUUUCCAAGAACUGGGAUUACAGGCUUGAGCCAUUACAUCUCUCUCUCUCUCUCUCUCUCUCUCUCUCUCUCUCUCUCUCUCUCUCUGUGUGUGUGUGUGUGUGUGUGUGUGUGUGUGUGUGUGUGUGAUCUACAAACAGUACCACACUGCUCUCAUUUUAAAGGAACAUGACUCCAAGACUGACUUAAGUACCUGUGAAAGGUGAAUCGGAAUGACCACAUGAUGAAGUAAGGAAUAAAGUGUAGAAAAUGAAAAACAUUCCAUAGUGAGUGUUAGAGCAAAAUGUCCCAGAUCACAUAGCUGAUUAAAGACCUCAAACCACAUUGCAGGUAGAGAGGUGGUGCAAAAUAAUUUGAUAAUAAAAUUUUAAAAAAUGAUGAUACAAAACUCAAGUGUGGAAAAUACCACUUUGGGUGGGUUGUAGGAUAGCCUUACCAUACACUGUUACCAAGAACCAGUAUGAAAUGCUUAAAACCUAUACAAACAAGGUAUUUCUAGGAAAGGCCAGAAAUUCCAGAGAGUUCCAUCUCUUCUUAGAAAUAAUUUAUAAAUUCAGGGUAAUUACAAUAGAAUUCCCAAUGGAGUAUUUUUCUAUGGUAGAAUAACCCUACAUUCAUUGGGAAAAUGUCAGCAUCUUUGGAUAAAAACCAGAAACGAUGGGGGUUUGUGCAAGCAGAAGCCAGUGCAUAGCAAAAGGCAUCCUCUCGCCAGCUCCAAGAUCGGCAGAUAGAGAAAGCAGAACACAGCAUUCUGCGACAGAGCCAAGGAGACGGCCGUGACAUUCAAGCCAGUGGAAGGAGGACGGCUGAGGGAGGCAGCCACGUGGUCGGGAAAAGUUUCAAUUAGUUCACCAUACCUCAGAUAGUACCAGUGGGAUUCCAAUUUAUCAUAAGCCCAAAAGAACAAAGAAGAUACAUAAAGCAAAGUCUACGAUGGAAGGGAUCAGCACCGUGGGUCAUAUAAAGACAUCACAGUGUGGUGGUGAAGAGAAAAGUGCAGAGACUCCCUUGAGAAAAACAUGGGUGCUAAAGUGCAAGGGUAGAACUGUCCCAGAUGGGUGAGAAACAAAAGCCACCAUGGAGACGGAAGUCCAGGGAAUUUGCCCAGAUAGACGAAUAUUAUCUAAAGCCCGCAAUCGGGGUGAGAAGAGAUGGCUCAUUUUGAAAGUGUGCUUGUUGCACAAGCAUGGGAACCUAAGUUGGGAUCCCAGUUCCCAAGUAACAAGCUGGGCAUUGACGCAUGUGUGCCUUGUGACCCCCAACUCUGUGGGGGCAGAAUCCAUGGGGCAGGAAGGUCUGUGGGACUCGCUGACUGCAAGCCUCAUUCUCAGUUCAGUGAGAUUUCCUGUCUCAAAGACUAAGAGUGGUAGAGAUUGACACUUGACCUCUUCCUCUGGUCUCUGUGCAUACAUGCACACAUUCACACACAUUGUACUCACACACAUAUAUGCACAGACACACAGAGACCAUAAUGUUCAAAGAUGCAAAAUUAAACACAGCAAAGCACCCAUCACCACUGUCUAUUAGAAUAGGGAAUAUUUAAGAUGGAUGGAUGGAUGGAUGGAUGGAUGUUACAAGGACAGAUGGAUAGACAUGAUUAGAUUGAGAGAUAGACAGA